UACGUAGGGUGCGAGCGUUGUCCGGAAUUAUUGGGCGUAAAGAGCUUGUAGGCGGUUUGUCGCGUCUGCUGUGAGAAUCCGGGGCUCAACCCCGGACUUGCAGUGGGUACGGGCAGACUAGAGUGUGGUAGGAGAGACUGGAAUUCCUGGUGUAGCGGUGAAAUGCGCAGAUAUCAGGAGGAACACCGAUGGCGAAGGCAGGUCUCUGGGCCACUACUGACGCUGAGAAGCGAAAGCAUGGGGAGCGAACAGGAUUAGA
rnacentral:rRNA from 1 species